AUUGGACGCUGGCGGCAUGCCUUACACAUGCAAGUCGAACGGCAGCGGACCUUCGGGUGCCGGCGAGUGGCGAACGGGUGAGUAAUAUAUCGGAACGUACCUUUCAGUGGGGGAUAACGUAGCGAAAGUUACGCUAAUACCGCAUAUUCUGUGAGCAGGAAAGCAGGGGAUCGCAAGACCUUGCGCUGAUUGAGCGGCCGAUAUCAGAUUAGCUAGUUGGUGAGGUAAAGGCUCACCAAGGCGACGAUCUGUAGCGGGUCUGAGAGGAUGAUCCGCCACACUGGAACUGAGACACGGUCCAGACUCCUACGGGAGGCAGCAGUGGGGAAUUUUGGACAAUGGGCGCAAGCCUGAUCCAGCCAUGCCGCGUGAGUGAAGAAGGCCUUCGGGUUGUAAAGCUCUUUCGGCCGGGAAGAAAUCGCACAGGUUAAUACCCUGUGUGGAUGACGGUACCGGAAUAAGAAGCACCGGCUAACUACGUG
rnacentral:rRNA from 1 species